UGAGUUGCUUCUUGCUGGGUUAUAAGUUGGUGUAGCUUUCGACUUUUUGACAUCAAAGGGAACUGAAAUUGGUAUUGAAAAAAAAAUAAAGAAAAGAAAGUUUAACUACAAUGUUGUUAGUGUAUGCACAUGAGAAGAUUACCUUGUGAAGAUGGAAGGUCAUGUCAUCCACUUCUACUACAAUGUCGCUUGGCAAUCCAGUGGUGCAGAACCUGUAAAGUAAGUUGUUUAUCCGAUGAUUCUAUCUCUGGGAGUCUCUUAGGCUUGGUUACUGGAAACUCAGAUCCAUGAACAUGCGAAGGGGGCACAUGAUUUUUCGGUUUGGGACAGGAGUUUGAAAACACUGGCAAGUUUCAUUGCGUAAGAAAUUACUGGAGUAUGGGUGUGUGGAAUUAUUUAAAAAAAAAAAAAGAAGAAACAUGAAAGUGGGGACUGGAUUU